rnacentral:rRNA from 1 species
UACAGAGGUCUCAAGCGUUGUUCGGAUUCAUUGGGCGUAAAGGGUGCGUAGGCGGCGCGGUAAGUCGGGUGUGAAAUCUUGGAGCUUAACUCCGAAACUGCAUUCGAUACUGCCGUGCUUGAGGACUGGAGAGGAGACUGGAAUUUACGGUGUAGCGGUGAAAUGCGUAGAUAUCGUAAGGAAGACCAGUGGCGAAGGCGAGUCUCUGGACAGUACCUGACGCUGAGGCACGAAGGCCAGGGGAGCAAACGGG